GUGCUCGCUUCAGCAGCACAUAUACUGAAAUUGGAAUGAUACAGAGAAGAUUAGCAUGCCCCUAUGCAAGGAUGAUGCACAAAUUCAUGAAACGUUCCAUAUUUUA
ensembl:snRNA U6 U6 spliceosomal RNA